AAACCAAUAUUUGAAAUAUCUGUCUGAGUAUUUUGCCAACACUUCUGAAAGCAUGAACGAAAACAUCCUGCUGCCAUUACAACAUGCAGAAGGAAAAGGAUGACAUGGUUUUAAGAUGGAUAUUUAAUGACAUCAGGAAAUUAGACAUGUACGACAUCAAUGCCAGAAAAAUCAAUAAGGACAGCCAAAAUCCAAGGAAUAACAAUGAUGGACGACGACAACAACAGCAGCAACAACAACAAUAACUACUAGAACUUGAUAGAGUAAAUACAAGAAAAUUUGGCAAAAUCGAAAUCAGACAUAGAAAAUAAAAGAAAAAGGUUCA